rnacentral:rRNA from 1 species
UACGUAGGGUGCAAGCGUUAAUCGGAAUUACUGGGCGUAAAGCGUGCGCAGGCGGUUUUGUAAGUCUGACGUGAAAUCCCCGGGCUUAACCUGGGAAUUGCGUUGGAGACUGCAAGGCUGGAGUCUGGCAGAGGGGGGUAGAAUUCCACGUGUAGCAGUGAAAUGCGUAGAGAUGUGGAGGAACACCGAUGGCGAAGGCAGCCCCCUGGGUCAAGACUGACGCUCAUGCACGA